CGCUUGAAUACAUUAGCAUGGAAUAAUGAAAUAGGACGUUCGAUCUUAUUUUGUUGGUUUCUUAAGAUUGACGUAAUGAUUAAUAGGGAGUAGUUGGGGGCAUUAGUAUUCAAUUGUCAGAGGUGAAAUUCUUUGGAUUUAUUGAAGACUAACUACUGCGAAAGCAUUUUGCCAAGGAUGUUUUCAUUAAUCAAGAACGAAAGUUAGGGGAUCGAAGACGAUCAGAUACCGUCGUAGUCUUAACCAUAAACUAUGCCGACUAGGGAUCGGAUGAUGUUAAUUUUUUAAUGACUCAUUCGGCGCCUUACA
rnacentral:rRNA from 1 species